CUGGGCGAUUCCCGAAGAAACGGGGGAGGUUUGGGGGGAACGGCGGAGGAGGGCGAUGAGCCGAGCGGGCUGCGGGAAGGCGCAGCGUGCAAACGCGUGCUUCCCUACGGCUUCCAGCGCGGAAUCGCGGCGCGUCCCGGCAUGGGAGGGACCCCCGAGGAGCGUCGGGCUCCGCACGGCAGCGCCCCGCGGCCUCUGCCCUCCGUCUGCAGCUCCAUCCCGCACAGCCCGCUGAUGUCUGCGGCCGUCCGAGCCCACGGCGGGACGUCCCCGUCCGGGUGGCGGAUCCCCAGGGCUGUGCGGUGCUUCCCCUGCAUUCAGCACAGCGAUCCCAGCCCUUAUCCCUGCCCCGGCGCUGCCCGGCGCGGCCCCGUGGCGCAGCGCGGACCCCCAAUUGCUCACGGACACCCGACGGGGCGGUGGGAUUCGGGGUGAGGAGGCGGCGCGCUCUGUUGGCAGGGCGGAGGGGUGGGGAGUCCCAGAGGGACACACUUGGGAUGGAGAGACCCAACAGAGAGCCCACGUUUUGGCUGGUGGGAUGGAGAGCCCCACGCGGGCAGUGCGCAGCGAGGCUUUACCUCCUGCAGCAGACAGGAGGCAAGAAGGGCAAGAAAACGGGCUGAGGGAAUUAAAGCCCAUCGUAACGCCCUCCAAAGGGGCACACUGAGGGCACAGACCGUCCUUAAACACCGCUUCCUUCCCCCAUAUAAAUACUCGGUAUGGCAAUAAAGCAAAAAGAAAAGGCCGCGGUGCCCGGAGAGCCCCCCCAGCACCACACAGAGCCCUCCCCGCCCCUCACUGCAGCACAGGGGGUCCUUCUGCCCAACCCCACACACAGAAGGCAAAACCGUUCCCACUGCGCUGCCUCGGUGACCUCACGGCCCUCAGCGAGGAGCCGGGCUGUAAUCAUGGCUCACGUGUUAUUGGCGGCUUGGAAGCAUUUAUUCUUAAGAGGGGACCGGUUGGGAGACAGGCGCUUCAAAGGACUCCGGAGAAAGCAAACAAUUAUGGACAAAUCACCUCCACACACACAGACACCGGGAAUCGAAACGCAAAGGGCAGAGGGCUGUCUGUACAGGGAGAUGAAGCAACUGUUUGUCUCCUUGAAGCACCACCCUGCGUGUGCGUUACGUUAACCGUCCAAAGCAGGCAAAACCAGAUGAAAGCAUAAAUAGAAACCCAUGAGCUCACAGCCCCGGGCCCUCCAGGCCUAGCUGCACAGCCAGGGACGCAGCACGGAGACGUGCUGAGGGCACUGGGAGUUCCAGCCUCACACCGUGCUGUAUGCUGGGCUGUGCAGCUCACAGCCUGCUCCCACAUUGCCCACUGCUGGAGCACUCCGUGUCCUCCCAGCAGGCUGACAGGACACCACGCAGCACAGCACUGCACAGCAUGCUGUCGUGCAGCAGUUUGGGAUGUGCUCUAUGGGAAAGGGAAACUUGCAAACCUCUCUUCCUGCCGUGGGGUUCCUCCCCGCUGCUCGCUGAGCGUGGCACAUCAGCAGGCUGUCCUGCAAAGGAAGAGGUGAUUUUGCUUGGAACUCCGCUGCCAUGGCCGAGCAUUGCCACACUGAGCAGCCACCGGGCACAGCCGUAACUUCGAGCUCUGCAACUGCAAAGGUUGUUUUGCAAAGCUCCGAAGUGGGGCUGUGCAGAGAGCGCCGUUCGCAGCUGCAGUGUGAGGGCAGUGAGGAACAGAUGGGCUGCUAUGGAAAUGGGGAGGAAGAGCCCCUGGAGGUGAGGGGAGUUUGGAAGUCGUGUGCAGACACAGUUCAACUUCCAAGCUUAUCCCAGUGAUGGGUAAGGAUAACUGCUAAGGAUAAUUUCCUCCCGAAGGCUUUUUUACGACACCACAUUCGGUUUGCAUUGAAUGUUCAGGGUGAGCUGAGGCUGACAUCAGAAAAUUCAUCCGUGGAGAAGAUUUCUUCAUCCAUGGAAAGAAAAGGACUUCUUGUGCCCACCUCCCCCUUAAGGCUCAGCACUGAGAGGCAUCCCAGUCACUGUAGGUACAGACAGUGGGAAAGGAGACUCCACAAACCCCAGCUCUUGGGACCCAGCCAUGGCACAGCACAACCCGGUGCUAUUGGGGAGCCCAGCACACGGAUUGCUGCUGGCGGCGGACUUUGACCUCUGGAAGACCAACGGGAAAAGCUCAAUCCACAAAUCCCAAGGACUUUUCGUCUCGUUACACAACACGGCAGUCAGGUCCCCAACCUAAACAUGUCCGGCCAUGGCAGAACCCAAACCUGGCAGGUGAGUAUUGGAGUUCUUAUGUUCAUGAUGUGGGUCCAGAACAACCACGGUUGACUACAAGAGUAGGGAUUGAGAGGAGCCCUUUUCAGGAGCAACACUGAAGGGUGGGAGGUCUGCAGUGAAGGUACAGCAGGAGGCAGAGCCCAGAGCCCGCAGGCUGAGAACUUCUGCUCACCUUCUUUGCAGUUACUGGAACACGGAGGGUGGGCAAAUAGCAACUUAAAUGAUAAGCAGCCUCCUCGUAGUGCUCUGCAUGAAGCAGAGUUCACAGACAUUCGGAGCAAGGCGUUAUUAGGGUUCUGAAAGGAUGGGUAUCACUCAGCUGAAAGUAAAUGUUAACAUCUACAAGGUGAGCUUCUAGAAGGGUGAUCAUCCAUCGGUCUCAGGGCACAAGCCACACUCUGCCUCGUGGGGCUUAGGGGAGGUUCCUGCAAGGUGCCCAACACCUGGAGAGCUCCAAGGGAGCGAGGGGCUGUGCCUACCCAUAACAGCACCAAAUACUGAGAGCAGCCGUGAGCCGAGACAGCCAUGGCUGUGCCUGGGCAGGGAGGGGUUCAGGAGGGGCGGAGGAGAGCCACGACUGGCAGGCCAAGCAAUGGUAGCUGCACACACAGCGGGUUCACUGCGGGCUUUUUGCAUCCCCACCUUCCUGGAUGUGUGCUCCAAUUCACAAGAGGUACUCUGGUUAUUCCGUGACACAAGGCGGGGUAAGAAGCUCGCUCUGACCUCAUCUUUUGCCCUACUUCCUUAUCUCGGAAUCUGGUGCACAGUGCCACACUUGUUCUCCCACAUAGUUUCCUUCACUGCCCUUCUCCUGGUGGGGACGGAGUUACGGAGCAGUGCUUCGUGGGGCACUUACUCUGCACAGCUCCCCAGGUGGGGAUGCAGCUCACGCAGCCAAAAGUGCUCCUUCAGCUGCCUCCUUUAAAGGCAAACUACACCAGUAGGGAUUGCACACCUGGAGCUGAACCAGAAUCCUGCAUACAAGACCCCCACUCAGCAGGAAAGCAGCCCAGGCCUUCAUAGAUAAGUGCAGUCAGCAGCACUCUGCGUUGCUCUGCUCAGACUGCAGCGCAGCUCCUGUCUGCCCCGGGAAAGGAUGUGAGCAAUCCCUGCCUGCCUCUGAUUCACCGAGGAACAGCCAGACCAAAAAUCACUCCAGAUAAAAAACGCUAAGCUUGGCUUCACUGAUAAUUUAUCUAAUGGCUGGGAAGAUUGGGCUAAUAGAAGGGAGACGAGAGAGAGCAGCACUACAUUGCUAUGGAAACCAGAAUUUUCAAAAUAAAUACCUUUGCAGAACUGAGGUUGCAGAUCUAAAAUAGUCCAUGGCGUUUCUGACGUUUCCUCCCUUUGCCACCAGCCCCUUCCAGGCUGAGCAGCCUGCGGUGACACGGGAUAUCCCACGGCUCAUGUUCCUUAUUCCACUGCUGGGCCCUGAAUAGAAACCUUUGGGCCGUGCCUGUAUUUUUGGGGCCUGCAGACUGGCAGGUCGGUGCAGAACGAGUCCACGAGCACCUGGAGGGGAAGGUGUUAUUUUUAUCCCGGUACAUUGGGAUAUAUGGAUAUAUUCCUCGGCGACCCGAGACAAUACGGUAUAUAAAGCAAACCCUCUUUGCGAAGCUCCGCUCCCUGGGAAGCUCCUUACCCUACAAAUGACCCCGGUGCAAUUACCGUUCAGCCUUUUGCUCCCUGUUAGCCCCAUUUCAUCCCGGAUGGCGUUUGGGCAGAAGGGCUCCCGCAGCCCACACCUCCCGCACCGCCUCGCUGCUGCUGCAAACAAGUCUGGGCUCCGGCAGUGCUGACUCACGGUGCUGAG
ensembl:lncRNA